rnacentral:rRNA from 1 species
GACGAACGCUGGCGGCGUGCUUAACACAUGCAAGUCGAACGGUAAGGCCCUUCGGGGUACACGAGUGGCGAACGGGUGAGUAACACGUGGGUGAUCUGCCCUGCACUUCGGGAUAAGCCUGGGAAACUGGGUCUAAUACCGGAUAGGACUACUGGCUUCAUGGUUGGGGGUGGAAAGCUUUGUCGGGGUGGGAUGGGCCCGCGGCCUAUCAGCUUGGUGGUGGGGUAAUGGCCUACCAAGGCGACGACGGGUAGCCGGCCUGAGAGGGUGACCGGUCACACUGGGACUGAGAUACGGCCCAGACUCGUACGGGAGGCAGCAGUGGGGAAGAUUGCACAAUGGGCGCAAGCCUGAUGCAGCGACGCCGCGUGAGGGACGACGGCCUUCGGGUUGUAAACCUCUUUCAGCUAUGACGAAGCGCAAGUGACGGUAGUAGCAGAAGAAGGACCGGCCAACUACGUGCCAGCAGCCGCGGUAA